AUCCUGCUUACUUUUUAGUAAGCUGAUUUAGGGAAGACUGUGUUUCUGCUUGAUCAGUUGAAUUUGGGAUAAAUGGCAGACUGGUCUCUGGACUUCAAGACAAUAUUUUCAUUUAGCUUUAAAUAACUACUUACAGCCAGGCUCUGCACAGUUCACAUAACCUGUCCACUAAAUGGAUUUCCAUUCAUUAAGGAACCCCACUAAAAUCAGUGAGAACACCUAAUAUGAGAACAGUAUCAAAGAAGGACAAAAUCUAACCUUUACUGUAUAUUGAUAUUCAUGUCACAGUGCCUCUCUGGUUAAUCUUUCUCCAACAAAAGGGACAGAAAGGCAGAAUUAGCAAAAAGCAAGUUGAAGUUUUAACUCAAAGCAAAAUGAAAUUUUUUUUUAGGUAAAUGAUCUGCUGUUUUGUAAACCUGAAAUAACUAAAAAAUUGAUGUGCUUUGUGGCAUGUAAAAUAAAAGAGUAAUCCUCAAAUACAGAAGCAGAGAACAUAGCAAAAUUAUACCUAGAAGACCUUGUUUGUCAGCUGGGUUAAAAGGCAAAUAGACAUCAUCUCUUGUGCAUUAUUUUUUGUCCAGGUGCACAGAAGAAAGAAAAGGAAUCAAAAGGAAAAUGGCACUCCAGGCUGCCAGUCAUGCAAAUAUUUCUAUAGCCAAUCUCCUCCUCUUCAAUAAGCUGUUUUCCUGUCAGAUAUAUCUCCUGAACUGUUGCAGUGACACGAGCACAGACAAGCAAGACGACUGUGAUAGAGAAGGUCACAACCUGCAGUCAGUCAUCACAUCCUGGGAGCAAGAAGAACCCCUCAGGGACAGCCUUGCUGAUCCCAACAGCUGAAAGAGAAGGUGCCAAAACGGGACUGUGUGAGUUGAUAAAGAGACACACAACAGAGCAGCUGAUGAAAAGAACCAUGGCUGGAACAGUACUGGAUUUUAAUAUUUUUUUAAUAAAUCUUAAUUAAAAGACAAACAAUUAUGGGUUUGGAGAAGGAAUCUUCCCUCCAGUAAUGUGUCAGGGAAAAAACCAGAAGGUAGGUCAGAAAACACAGGGUUUUUUGUAGUGAAACUGGAGAGGUCAGUGAGAGACAGCAGUAUUGACUGUGGUUGGAAUGACAUGUAGAUGAGGUUCACAGCAGGAAAUGAUCUAAGCUGGUGAGCCAUUAUAUACAUUGGACCAAGAAUAUGUCAUGAGCUUUUCUAAAAAUAGUUAAGUGCAGGAGAUGAAUGCUCAGCUCCCAUAGGCAGAACAAAUAAUAUAGUUAGGAGAGACCUUUUGAGAUUAUCUAGUCCAUCCUCAA